rnacentral:rRNA from 1 species
UACGUAGGGGGCGAGCGUUGUCCGAAGUUACUGGGCGUAAAGAGCGCGUAGGCGGUCUUUUAAGUCUGGUGUGAAAGGUUCAGGGCUCAACCCGAACAGUGCACUGGAUACUGGGAGACUUGAGUGCGGGAGAGGAGAGUGGAAUUCCUGGUGUAGCGGUGAAAUGCGUAGAUAUCAGGAGGAACACCGGUGGCGAAGGCGGAUCUCUGGGCCUUACCUGACGCUCAGGCGCGAAAGCUAGGGGAGCGAACAGG